CUGAGACCUGAUGCCGAGCCGAUUGUGGUGAAGUGGAUGAUCCUAUGCUGUCGAGAAAAGCCUCUAGCGAGUUUCAUGGCGGCCCGUACCCUAAACCGACUCAGGUGGUCAGGUAGAGAAUACCGAGGCGUUCGGGUGAACUAUGGUUAAGGAACUCGGCAAAAUGCCCCCGUAACUUCGGGAGAAGGGGGGCCAUCACCGGUGAUGAGUCUUGCACUCUGAGCUGGGGGUGGCCGCAGAGACCAGCGAGAAGCGACUGUUUACUAAAAACACAGGUCCGUGCGAAGCCGUAAGGCGAUGUAUACGGACUGACGCCUGCCCGGUGCUGGAACGUUAAGGGGACCGGUUAGUCACUCUUCGGGGUGGCGAAGCUGAGAACUUAAGCGCCAGUAAACGGCGGUGGUAACUAUAACCAUCCUAAGGUAGCGAAAUUCCUUGUCGGGUAAGUUCCGACCUGCACGAAUGGCGUAACGACUUCUCGACUGUCUCAACCAUAGGCCCGGUGAAAUUGCACUACGAGUAAAGAUGCUCGUUUCGCGCAGCAGGACGGAAAGACCCCGGGACCUUUACUACAGUUUGAUAUUGGUGUUCGGUUCGGCUUGUGUAGGAUAGGUGGGAGACUUUGAAGCGGCAGCGCCAGCUGUUGUGGAGUCGUCGUUGAAAUACCACUCUGGUCGUGCUGGAUGUCUAACCUGGGUCCGUGAUCCGGAUCAGGGACAGUGUCUGAUGGGUAGUUUAACUGGGGCGGUUGCCUCCUAAAGAGUAACGGAGGCGCCCAAAGGUUCCCUCAGCCUGGUUGGUAAUCAGGUGUUGAGUGUAAGUGCACAAGGGAGCUUGACUGUGAGACCGACGGGUCGAGCAGGGACGAAAGUCGGGACUAGUGAUCCGGCGGUGGCUUGUGGAAGCGCCGUCGCUCAACGGAUAAAAGGUACCCCGGGGAUAACAGGCUGAUCUUCCCCAAGAGUCCAUAUCGACGGGAUGGUUUGGCACCUCGAUGUCGGCUCGUCGCAUCCUGGGGCUGGAGUCGGUCCCAAGGGUUGGGCUGUUCGCCCAUUAAAGCGGUACGCGAGCUGGGUUUAGAACGUCGUGAGACAGUUCGGUCCCUAUCCGCUGUGCGCGUAGGAGUCUUGAGAAGGGCUGUCCCUAGUACGAGAGGACCGGGACGGACGAACCUCUGGUGUGCCAGUUGUCCUGCCAAGGGCAUGGCUGGUUGGCUACGUUCGGGAGGGAUAACCGCUGAAAGCAUCUAAGCGGGAAGCCUGCUUCGAGAUGAGGACUCCCACCCCCUUGAGGGGUUAAGGCUCCCAGUAGACGACUGGGUUGAUAGGCCGGAUCUGGAAGGCGGGUAACCGCUGGAGGUGACCGGUACUAAUAGGCCGAGGGCUUGUCCUC
rnacentral:rRNA from 1 species